rnacentral:rRNA from 1 species
AGUUCGAUCAUGGCUCAGAUUGAACGCUAUGAUGCUUUACACAUGCAAGUCGAACGGCAGCACGGACUUCGGUCUGGUGGCGAGUGGCGAAACGGGUGAGUAAUGUAUCGAACGUGCCUAGUAGCGGGGGAUAACUACGCGAAAGGUAGCUUAAUACCGCACACGUAGCUCCUUCGGGGAAAGUGGGGGGACCUUUCGCCUCGCACUAUUAGAGCGGCCGAUAUCGGAUUAGCUAGUUGGUGGGUAACGGCUCACCAAGGCGACGAUCCGUAGCUGGUUUGAGAGGACGACCAGCCACACUGGGACUGAGACGGCCCAGACUCCUACGGAGGCAGUGGGGAAUUUUGGACAAUGGGGAAACCUCGAUCCAGCCAUCCCGCGUGUGCGAUGAAGGCCUUCGGGUUGUAAAGCACUUUUGGCAGGAAAGAAACGGCACGGGAUAAUACCCCGUGCAACUGACGGUACCUGGCAGAAUAAGCACCGGCUAACUACGUGCCAGCAGCCGCGGUAAUACGUAGGGUAAGCGUUAAUCGGAAUUAAUAAGGUGAAGUGCGCGCAGGCGGUUCGGAAAGAAAGAUGUGAAAUCCCGAGCUUGACCCUGGAACUGCAUUUUUAACUACCGAGCUAGAGUGUGUCAGAGGGAGGGAAUUCCGCGUGUAGCAGUGAAAAUGCGUAGAUAUGCGGAGGAACACCGAUGGCGAAGGCAGCCUCCUUGGGAUAACACUGACGCUCAUGCACGAAAGCGUGGGGAGCAAACAGGAUUAGAUACCCUGGUAGUCCACGCCCAAACGAUGUCAAUCUCAGCUGCUUUUGGGCCUUCGGGCCUUGUACAUUAACGGUGAAGUUGACCGCCUGGGGAGUACGGUCGCAAGAUUAAAACCCGCGAAUUGACGGGACCCGCACAAGCGGUGGAUGAUGUGGAUUAAUUCGAUGCAACGCGAAAAACCUUACCUACCCUUGACAUGUCUGGAAUCCCGAAGAGAUUUGGGAGUGCUCGCAAGAGAACCGGAACACAGGUGCUGCAUGGCUGUCGUCAGCUCGUGUCGAGAUGUUGGUUAAGUCCCGCAACGAGCGCAACCCUUGUCAUUAGUUGCUACGAAAGGGCACUCUAAUGAGACUGCCGGUGACAAACCGGAGGAAGGUGGGGAUGACGUCAAGUCCUUCAUGGCCCUUAUGGGUAGGGCUUCACACGUCAUACAAUGGCUCGGACAGAGGGUCGCCAACCCGCGAGGGGAGCCAAUCCCAGAAACCUGAUCGGGGGUCCGGAUCGCAGUCUGCAACUCGACUGCGGAAGUCGGAAUCGCUAGUAAUCGCGGAUCAGCAGGCGUCGCGGUGAAUACGUUCCCGGGUCUUGUACACACCGCCCGUCACACCAUGGGAGUGGGUUUUACCAGAAGUAGUUAGCCUAACUCAUGGGAGGGCGAUUACCAAUGGUAGGAUUCAUGACUGGGGUGAAGUCGUAACAAGGUAG